rnacentral:rRNA from 1 species
UACGUAGGUGGCAAGCGUUAUCCGGAUUUAUUGGGCGUAAAGGGAACGCAGGCGGUCUUUUAAGUCUGAUGUGAAAGCCUUCGGCUUAACCGGAGUAGUGCAUUGGAAACUGGGAGGCUUGAGUGCAGAAGAGGAGAGUGGAACUCCAUGUGUAGCGGUGAAAUGCGUAGAUAUAUGGAAGAACACCAGUGGCGAAAGCGGCUCUCUGGUCUGUAACUGACGCUGAGGUUCGAAAGCGUGGGUAGCAAACAGG